GCUUGCUUCUGAUACUUAGUGGCGGACGGGUGAGUAAUGCUUAGGAAUCUGCCUAGUAGUGGGGGAUAACUUGGGGAAACCCAAGCUAAUACCGCAUACGACCUACGGGUGAAAGGGGGCUUUUAGCUCUCGCUAUUAGAUGAGCCUAAGUCGGAUUAGCUGGUUGGUGGGGUAAAGGCCUACCAAGGCGACGAUCUGUAGCUGGUCUGAGAGGAUGAUCAGCCACACUGGGACUGAGACACGGCCCAGACUCCUACGGGAGGCAGCAGUGGGGAAUAUUGGACAAUGGGCGAAAGCCUGAUCCAGCCAUGCCGCGUGUGUGAAGAAGGCCUUUUGGUUGUAAAGCACUUUAAGUGGGGAGGAAAAGCUUAUGGUUAAUACCCAUAAGCCCUGACGUUACCCACAGAAUAAGCACCGGCUAACUCUGUGCCAGCAGCCGCGGUAAUACAGAGGGUGCAAGCGUUAAUCGGAAUUACUGGGCGUAAAGCGCGCGUAGGUGGUUAUUUAAGUCAGAUGUGAAAGCCCCGGGCUUAACCUGGGAACUGCAUCUGAUACUGGAUAACUAGAGUAGGUGAGA
rnacentral:rRNA from 1 species